UACGUAGGGUGCGAGCGUUGUCCGGAAUUAUUGGGCGUAAAGGGCUCGUAGGCGGUUUGUCACGUCGGGAGUGAAAACUCAGGGCUUAACCCUGAGCCUGCUUCCGAUACGGGCAGACUAGAGGUAUGCAGGGGAGAACGGAAUUCCUGGUGUAGCGGUGAAAUGCGCAGAUAUCAGGAGGAACACCGGUGGCGAAGGCGGGUCUCUGGGCAGUAACUGACGCUGAGGAGCGAAAGCGUGGGGAGCGAACAGG
rnacentral:rRNA from 1 species